CCCCCCGAUGUCCCCACAGUUGUGUGUUACAACGGUGGCACCCACGACGGCAUCAAAUGCCUCUGCCUCUCCAACUUCUAUGGGCCGCAGUGCGAGUUCCCCAUCGACACCAUCGACACCUCCCUCUGUGAGUGCCUCCGCCCUCUUCCUCCUCUUCCUCCUCUUCCUCCUCUUCCUCCUCUUCCUCCUCCUCCAACUCCCUCUUCCUCUCCCUUUUCCUCCUCCUCUUCCUCCUCAUCUCCCUCUCCCUCAUAUUUCACUUCCUACUCCUCUUCCUCUCCCUCCCUCUCCCCCUCUCCCUCUCCUUCCCCCUCCGUCUCCCUCUGCCUCCUCUUCCUCCUCCUUUUCCUCCUCUUCCUCCUCCUCUUCCUCCUCCCCCACCCCUGGAGGACCAACCCUUUUCUCCCCACAGCGUCCUCCAGCACCACGGUGGCUGCGGCGGAUCUGGACGUCACCAUCACCAACUUCAACUACACCGAGGAGUUGGAGGACCAACAGUCGGAAGCGUUCCUCGAGUUUGGGGAGCACUUCCAGAAGGAGGUGAGAACCGUUCCUCGGGUGGGAGGAGGUUGGGGGGGUCACUUCCGNNNNNNNNNNNNNNNNNNNNUUCCGGUUUUGGGGGUGUCACUUCCGGUGAUUGGGGUCUCACUUCCUGUUGUUGGGGUCUCGCUUCCCGUGGUUGGGGUCUCACUUCCAUCGGUUGGGGUGCCACAUCCGGAUUUGGGGCGCCACUUCCCGUUGUUGGGGUCUCACUUCCGGAUUUGGGGUGUCACUUCCUGCGGUUGGUGGUCUCACUUCCGGUGGUCUGGGUCUCGCUUCCAUCGGUUUGGGUGUCACUUCCGUAUUUGGGACGCCACUUCCCGAUGUUCGGGCGUCAUUUCCUGUUUGGCGGGAGCCACUUCCGGUGGCGGGGCGUCACUUCCGGUUUCAGUUUCGUUUCUGUUCGUCGGUUCCACAGAUCGGGAAAAUCUACGGCAGCGUCCCCAGCUACAAGGGGGUGAAGAUCCUCGACGUCGGGAUCGGCGUCGUCGUGACCCACCGGGUCGUCAUCACCACCAGCGCCGACGGCCCCAAUGUCACCGCCGAGAUUUUUGGGGUCACCGAAGCCCUGGUGGAGAAACUCCGCCAGACCGAGAGCAGCCAGGGGAACUGCCAGCAAAACGCCUGUGGGUCACACACCCCAACGGCCCCAUAUGGCCCCAUACGGCCCUAUAUGGCCCCAUAUGGCCCCAUGUGGCCCUAUAUCGACCCCCAAUCACCCCCAAUCGGCCCCCAAUGGCCCAUAGAGAACAAAAUGGCCCCAAUGGCCCCAUAUGACCCCAUAGAGAACAAAAUGGCCCCCAA
ensembl:lncRNA